AAGAGCCGGAUGCCUUAAUAGGGCAAGUCCGGUUCUGUGAGGGUUGCGUGCCGUGAGGUGCGCUUCUACUCGAC
rnacentral:ncRNA from 1 species